rnacentral:misc_RNA from 1 species
GUGAAUCAUCGAAUCUUUGAACGCACAUUGCGCUCCCUGGUAUUCCGGGGAGCAUGCCUGUUCGAGCGUCAUUACAACCCUCACGCACUGCGUGGUAUUGGGCUUGCCCCCCGGGCUUGCCUCAAAAUUAGUGGCGGCUUCUUCAGAAUCCCCUUUAGCGUAGUAUUACUGCAUCGCUGGAGGGAGCUGGAGCGGCUUGCUAAGCUUACCCCCACACUAAGGUUGACCUCGGAUCAGGUAGGGAUACCCGCUGAACUUAAGCAUAUCAAUAAGCGGAGGA